rnacentral:rRNA from 1 species
GAAUUGACGGGGACCCGCACAAGCGGUGGAUGAUGUGGUUUAAUUCGAUGCAACGCGAAAACCUUACCCACCUUUGACAUGUACGGAACCCUUUAGAGAUAGAGGAGUGCUCGAAAGAGAACCGUAACACAGGUGCUGCAUGGCUGUCGUCAGCUCGUGUCGUGAGAUGUUGGGUUAAGUCCCGCAACGAGCGCAACCCUUGUCAUUAGUUGCUACAUUCAGUUGGGCACUCUAAUGAGACUGCCGGUGACAAACCGGAGGAAGGUGGGGAUGACGUCAAGUCCUCAUGGCCCUUAUAGGUGGGGCUACACACGUCAUACAAUGGAUGGUACAAAGGGUCGCCAACCCGCGAGGGGGAGCCAAUCCCAUAAAGCCAUUCGUAGUCCGGAUCGCAGUCUGCAACUCGACUGCGUGAAGUCGGAAUCGCUAGUAAUCGUGGAUCAGAAUGUCACGGUGAAUACGUUCCCGGGUCUU